rnacentral:lncRNA from 1 species
UAAUAUAAAGACAUCAUCAAGUAUUCAAAUACUCAGCAAAUAAUUCAGAAGUAGCUGUUUUAAUGUAUUCACAAGUAAGUUCAGACCUAUUCCAAAGAAUACUGCAUUUUUUACAUUACACCGCUUUUCUCAUCUGAAAAGAAUUUACUCUCAUCUGGUAAGAAUAUUUAAGGCUUUUGAAUAGUGGCGGUACUCUCAACUGAUAAAGAUUAUUUAAGAAGGAUAGCAGAUGAGUGGAACUUCAUAUUGACCCAUUGUCUCGGCAUUUCAGAGCCCAAAGUUAUGCUCUCUCCACUACAGCCUCACAUUUCAAUGCAUGGAGACCAUGAAACAACAAACAAAUCUGCAAGUUUCAGGGGAGAAAUAUGGAACACUGUGUUAGGUUUUGAGUAAUUUAGUAUGACUAACGAAUUGUGGGUAUAUAUUUGAGGCUUUACUAGUGGUAUAGUGAGGCCUAAAAACAUGUUAUUCGCACAACAAAAAUUAUAAAAAGAUGUAUGAAAUGCUUAAGAUAAGUAAAUAUGCUGCCCAUAAUGCACUUAAUCCUAGAAAGAGAGAUUGAUUCUGCUGUGUAGAGUUCGUUCCAUGCAAUCAGAGCAUCAAUCAACAGCACAAGCAGUUCCUAUUCAGGCAAGUACAGAUGUCAACCACUUCUAAUUUAGUCAAAUAAAGUACAUUGACAACAAUAAUAUAGAUCACAAGAUGAGAAUCAUAUGAAGCACUUGUAAUUCCACUUAUCAACUGGUCAUUCAUAACUACCAGCAACAAUCUGUAGCGAAAUACGAGGAUGCCUACAGUUGUUACACAACUAAAAAGUGGUCAACUUCCUGGGAAAAAUACAAGGGAGGAGGGAUUUGGGCUCCUUUGCUUAGCUAGGAUGUAAGGGUUACAGCACAACUUUUAAAGUUUCAAUCCCAGCGAACAUGAUACCAUACAGAUAAAUUGAAAAUCACAUGAUUUGUCUCCUAGAUCAUUCAUUAAUCUGUUUGUUCCAUGUACACAACAUUAUUUGGCCAUACAUAUCAUGACCAAGUACUUUUUAUGCUCAUUUGCAUUUUGCAGUUGUAAUGAGCCUCCCAUAGAGUUUAUGUAGGCAUGUGCAGCAAACUUGAUGCUUCACAAAGGUUAUCGUUAAAAAGAAGACACCAAAGCCUUGUGCUGGUUAUAAGUUGACAAUAGAGGCAGUAACAAAAACAUUGGGAAUAUCUGUUUUUUUCUCUCCUAUGUAUCACCAUGGUUUUUCUUCAUGAUUAGGUAAGAACUUCAGAAAAUAAAUUUAAACUCGGAGAAAAUACAAAAUUUGUAUGAUGAUUAGACCAUAAUAUCAAAAAAAGUAGGAUCUGGGGUCCUGGCUUAGCUAGGAUGCAAGGGUUACAGAACAACUUUCAAGGUUUCAAUCCCAGCUCACAUGAUACCAUACAGAUAAAUUGAAUUACAUGCUGUGUCUCCUAGAACAUUCAUUAAUCUGUGCCAGUUCCAUUAAGACUAUUUUACCAAACAUACCAUGCCCAUGUAUUUUUUAUGCUCAUUUGCAUUUUGCAGUUGUAAUGAGCCUACCAUAUAGAGUUUAUGUUCUGAAGUCUGAAGUCUGAACAAGAGGCAUUUGCAGUUAACUUGAUGCUUCACAAAAGUUAAUCAUUAAGAAAAAGACAGCAAAGCCGAGUGCUGGUCAUAAGUUGACAAUUGAGGCAGUAAGAAAACAGUGGGAAUAUCUAUUUUUCUUCAUCCCAUGUAUCACCAUGACUUAUUAAAUAUAUUAUGUGUUUGUCAUGAUUAGCAAGAACUUCAGAAAAUAAAAUUUAAGUAGGAUAAAAGACAAAAUAUGUACAAUGAUCAGAACAGAUGAAAAUAUCAAAAAUUGUAUAUAGACUGUCAUGGUAAUUAUGAUGCAAGAAUAUUAUGAAAUACAAAGCAAUAUAUCUACAAUUGAGUAUACUAAUAUCAUGAAAAAACACCAUCCCAUGCAUAGAAACUGUUGAUGCAAUAGAAAUCACUAAUAUUGGCAACAGGUCCUCAAGUUCAAAAUGGGUUUAAUUACUAUGACAUUGACUUCCCAUGUGAUCUGAGCUCCGAGACACAAUCUCAAAUCUCACAGAUGAAAAGACCAAUUUCAGUACCAAUGGUGUCAACUUGGUCCCAAAUUACUCACAUCCAAAAACUACAUAGAAUAAAAUUCCCAAAAUAAGCCCCCUCUCACACCUGGGAUUCCAUUUAAGUAAUACCGCAAGGAUCAACUUGAUUUAACAACCCGAUAUUGAGCCAACAAAUUCUCCACCCAACCUUUUUCCCAUCAUAGUCAAGAGUGGGGACAUCCUUGUCAAGAGUGGGGACAAAGUUUAUAGUCAUCCUUCCUCACCCUUUAGGCCAUAUUUUAUAUACUUACCCAGUAUUUCCAGAUAAGCAACUCAAACUCCACCCUUUUAAUCUGAAGGAUCUAGCUUGCUCAUGCUAUAUUGUUCCUCCCGUUAAGGAUGCAACCGAACCCCAAAGUUUGGUCCUCCAGUGUCACUAAACAAACGAUGUUCAAAGGCAUAGUGAAAGCCUCUACAGAAAUUAUAUGCCAGAAAGAUCCUACCUAAAAUUUAUUCAUAAAUCCACCUAGAAAUGAAAUACUGCCAAAAUUCAAAGAAGGAUUGGAGACAGCAACUACUUUGAUAAGCCCAAAGCAAUAUAUUUAGGGCUCAAAAUCCAAAAGCCCAUUAACCUCUACGAAGGAACAAUACUGGACUAAAACAGACAUGCAAUGGAGGAAUUUUUUGAUAUCUUUUAGCAAAAGCCUCACUCUAUUGGUCAUAACAUAGCUCAAACCAGCUUAGAGCCAACAAUUCCCAAUUUCUAUUCACUCCACCACCUCUAAAUCAAUAACCCAUAUAGCAUUCAGCUAAUGAAGCUAGUGACUGGUAGGGUAACAGGGACCCAUGUUCUAGAAAUCCCACGCCACAUCGUCUACAUCCAUGUUAAAAGGUCAUUACUCUCCCUCUCUCUCUCUCNNNNNNNNUCUCUCUCUCUCUCUACUACUACUACUACUACUACUACUACUACUACUACUACUACUACUACUACUNNNNNNNNNNNNNNNNNNNNGGGUUAACGGUAACGGUAACCGGAACCGUACGUUCGUUACGUAAUAACCUACCGACCACCACUACUCUACUACUACACUGUAAGUACGUACUACUACUCCUCCUCUCUCUCUCUCUCUCUCUCUCUCUCUCUCUCUCGACUACACUGUAAUGGUAAACCUAGAAUUUUCUCUCUCUCGACUGCACCACUCUAAUGGUAAACCUAGAAUUUUUUACUCCAAAAGUUCUGGCCACAAAAUACCCCCACAAUCUCAAAAUUACAAUAGCAAUAACUUGUCUCAAAUUCAAGAAAUAUUUGUUAUUUUAAGUUGCUUCCAAAAUUCAAAAAUGAAUCAAAAAGUUAAAAGGAAUCUUUUUAAAUUUGAUUUUGGAGGGAUUUUGAAAUAACAAAAAUAUCUCUUUAAAGAUACAUGAACACGUUAGAGUCGACAGUCAUUUUUAAAUAUAGAAGGGCAUUUUAUGGUAUAAAAUUUAUAAGUAAGAAAUUCUAAGUUCACCAUUUGAGUGUAGCCUAGAAUAAACCAUAUAUAAAUACUUACAAACACUCAUAAGUGAAUUUCUAGAUUACUUCACUCAUGGCUCAUCACCACCCAAAGUCCAUCACAUGGUCACAGUUGUCUGCUAGUGUUUUAAUUUUAAUAAUUCAUGUGUUUUAUUUAGCGUGUAGGAAGAGGGAGGACCAAGAAAGAUCCUACCAUAACACUGGGAAGGAGGGGGGGCGAAACAAGGUGCUGGUCUGGGCCAGGACAAAAAGAAUUUGGCAAUAUAUUGAUUUAUGUCUUUAUUGAAUGAAAGAUUUUCCAAGUAGGUAAAGGGAGCUCAAAUUUUGUGAGUGAAUAGAUGCUUUGAAUGACUUCAUUGAUUACUAAAGUUUCUAAAUUUUUUUGUAACUUAAUGCUUUGAAUGACUUCAUUGAUCAUAUCCAAAGUCCAAACAUCAAUUAUAUCGUACAAUCUAUCAGCUCCCAUCCUCCUUUGAAAUGUCCCUUCAUCAAUCUUCAAAAAUAUCAUUCAAUAAAAACUGAAACCAGACUUGUGGGUUUCCUAAAUGCCUGUACUCUCCUUUGAUGAGAUGCCCCCACCAGUUAGUACACAUCCCCGCCGCAUAGCUUCCCAAUAAGUGAAAGGAAAAUAUAUAGUCAUUUUGGCUUUAUCCUAGUACACCAUAUCAUCUCCCACAGGCUAAAAACUAUUUCUUAUACAUAUAAUGAGUUUCUUCAAAACAACAAAAAUUACAAAAGAGUACAAUAUGGCUGCCUUAGUAUCUAUAAAGAAGGUCAGCAUAAUCUAAAAAAAAAUUCACCCCAUCAGGCCUACUGUCAUACCCAUUUCCUUAGAGUAAAGCAUGCAAGUCUAAGUGACAUGCGUGGUUCCCCUAAGUGAUUAAACAAAGGACCCCAAGUCCUGAGUGGAUUUGUGCUACUGUGGCAGUGUUAACUCUAUCUCCUUGCAAGCCAGUUCUUUAGAUUGACAAACUUUUGUGAGGGAGGUGAAGCCCCUUCAAUCUUGACUGAGCGAGAGAUGUAGAUGGUGCGGCAUUGGUGCAAGAUGCAUGCACCUUUUGGCUAGAGGCUAAAGACCCUCGGUGCAAAACCUUGGGCAAGAUGAUAUGGACGAAUGGCUAAAGGCUAACUCAGGCAGUGGCUCGGUUGGCUCGACCAUGGACAACUUGACCCUGAUAGGACAUGGGUGUGGACCAUGUGCAAGAGGUGCGUUGACCAUACACCUUGUUGGGCAGCUUGAUUGUAACAGCCAUGAGCCAUGCGAAAGAGGGAGUGCACAUGAAGAGGGCAAGUGGACCUUAAUAGUUGUUAUAGCUUACAAUGCCGGUCUAAAUUGGCUUGAAUGGUUAUUUAUAACUUGUGGAGUGGAUUGACAAGGACUUGUAACUCCCGUCAUAAGCGAUGUGGGCAAGCAUUAGUGUAGGGAGUUGGAUAGAUAAUUGUCACACAAUGGGCGGUGGGCAUUGAAUGUCGUAUAGUCCUUAAUGGCCAUUGUAAUAGUGGGUGAUUGUGUGUAGGCUAUAAAAACAUAUUUUCCAGACCCAUGAUCAGAGAAGAUCUGUGGCUAUAUAUAGUGCAAGUGUAUAGCGAAAUAAGACUGGGCUGCAGCUCUUGUCGAUUGCUUGUUCGUGUGACCGUUGUGCUUGUUUGCUAUUUCCUCUUGUGUGGCUUGGGGAAGGUUGUCCUUUACUUAGUCAAGGUAGGACUUGGGCUUAACGUUACAUGGGUUAUCUAUUGAGAAACUUGCCUCCAUUUCAGUUAGUAUGAAAGCCAGGUUGGUCAAUGCGUGUGGCCAUGACUGGUGGUGUUACUGAAAUCCGGGGCCAUGUCAACCACCUUAAGGAGAAGUUGGAGCAAAUCACGAUGGACACUGGGUUGGGGAAGAACUUUACCACCUUGGAAUGCCUGGAGCGGUGCUUUGGAGGCCCUAGUGGAGGACCAUUGUAGCGCCUGCGAUACUCGUAUGGGAGGAUUCAUGGAUGAUCUUAAGGCCUUAAAAGAAUCCUUGAAGGCUAGCCUCGUGAGCCUGCAAGAAGAUAUGCCACUUGUCAAAAAGGCCUUGUGUGGCAUCACAAGCAAGCUAGACUCUCAAAGUGUGAGGGCAAUAGAGUCAAGGCUCUUUGGACUCUAAAGUGUUAAAUAACUUCUUAUGGGAUAUGGAACAAUACUUUAAGAAUGCUCAUGCCCGUGAGGAGGAUUAUGCUGGCAUUUGCAUCAUGCACCUCGUCGGAUAUGUAUAGAUCUGGUGGAGGAUGCUAGUCGAGAACACUUCAAGGCCCAAGUUGAGCACUUGGGAAGCCUUAAAAGAAGAGUUGAAACAAUGCGACCUAGGUGGCUUGAGAAGCUUUGAAAAAACUUCAAUAAACAAGGUCGGUGAGAGACCAUUUGAAAAGGUUUGCAUCCCUCUAGCAAUAUGACCAUAUCUGAGAAGGACAAAUUCUUUAACUUUGUUGCUGGGUUGCAAGGUUGUGCCCAGGCCAACUAAAAAGGCAAGAUGUGGAGACUUGUCUACGGCGAUGGCGCUAGCUAGGGGCCUAGGAUAUUAUGAUAUUCGUGGUGUGGUGGAAUCAAACUGCAAGGAGGGCCAUCGGGGGCGAAUGGUGAGAGACUGGUGUACCACAAUGGCACCAGACCUGGGAAUGGGGCGACCAAGGAUAGAGAGGCAACUCGGAAGGCCUUUUCAAGUUGUUUCAUUUGCAAAAGUGACCACCGAGAGGGACUAUCCACAAAAAGUUAGCCACUCGAAACAGUUUGACUAAUAGGGGAGGAUGAGGAGGCCUCAACGCAAGCCUGCUCACUACGCUUGUUGAAUGCCAUGCAACUGGUUGAGUGCAACAGCCUGGAGAGGAGUACAUGCCAAGUGUCACUGAAGCGACUGACUCUGGGAAGUCAAUUGAUGACUCAAACAGUCAUAAUAUGCAUAUUAUUGGUGGUGAAGGAGGGCCAAUGGUAAGAGUCAUUUAGCUCCAAGAUGGCUCAGACAUCUUCUACCAGUGGAGAUGCACUACAAUGGGUCAUCCCCUUAGCCCUUGUGGGGUGAACUAGUCAAGAAGAGGUGAUUUGGCAACCUACAUGAUUAUCGUAUGUAUUACUUGACCUUUGCCAAGGCUAAUGCGAGGCCUUCCUCUUG